AUGAAAUAAUAAUUUAAGGGCAUAAACCACUUACAUUAACAAUCAUACCAAUUGAGUGAAAUGAGUCAAAGAACAAAUACUUUAGCUAAAAGCCAGUUGGUGAUGGGGCAUAAAAAUUCCAUUCAAAUAUACACAAAGAGGAUUAAAGGAGUGGGGGAAGAACAAAUAAAAAGUAGCAAUCAUCAAUUGCAUGGCUAAAACAAAAGAUCAAAAGGUGACAAAUAUGAUUCAAAAGUAGGGUCCAAAUAGCAUCAUAAUCAUCAUACUUAAAGCUACUUUGAACUCUUUAACCAAAGUACUUGGUGCAUAUUUGGCUCAAAACCAUUCUUCCCUUUUUCUUUUUUUUACACCAAAUUGCAGCCCUCCCUUUGUCUCUCCUCUUUUUUACAGUAGCACCAGCAUUACCACACAAAAUAGAGUCAUGUGAACCCCAAGUAACCCCACUGCCACCUGUUGAUGAUGACCAGAGGCGGGCAAGGGGCGUAUGGUAGCGGAAUCAACUUCACCAGUAGGCAAAGGAACGGCUGGAUUACUAUUGAUAAAUGGCAUGCCGCCACCUUUAUCCGGCACCACUGUUGGCAGUGUUAGUGGAGAGCUUGCGCCACUACUGGGUUCUGGAGCUGGUGAAGAUGCUGCUUCUCGAGGACGGAAUGGCCAUGGAUAAGCUGGAGAAGACGACACUUCACCACCGGAAAUGGGUGGUGGAAUUGGAGUUGCUGUUGGAGAGAAUUCUGAUGGGGGUAGUGUUGGUGGUGGUGAUGCUUGUGGAGAGACCUUUAUGAACAGUUUUUGAGAGUCUUGAUUGCAAGAUUUCUGAGAGUCAUUGUUGAAUCCGAAAUAGUAGAAACCAGGGCGUGAUGGGUACCACUUGAUUUGCAUUAAUUCGUGACCAGAAAAUUUGUUAGACAUUUUAAAAAAAAGUUAUAAACUUUAGAAGGAGAACAAAAAUGGGAAAAACAAGAAAUUCAGAGCUCUUCUUGGCAUUGUAAAGAGAUUCUGGUUAGAAGCACAAGGCAGCAAGAAACUUGAGCCAAUUAUUCAAGAACCCAGAGAUAAUUUAUAAUGAUAAAUAUCAAAAGAUUUUUUAAGCCAUUUCUCUUAGCCUAAGAUGCACAGUGAGAGAGAGAGAGAGAUACCGUAUAGGAGGUAGAGUUGGGCUUGGUGAGAAUUGAGGCUUGAGUGAAGUUACAGAGAUUGAAGGCUCUUUGACUCUGGAAAAUGUAGAGAUUGUAGUGAUACUUGUGUUUGAAAAUGAUUGAGUCUCCUACAUGAACAAUGGGGUUUUUCCACUCUGAAACACCAUCUACAAAGAUUUUUGUGGAGUGACAAUGUUGAGAGAGCAAGGAGAGUAGAAGAAAAAGAAGAAGAAAUGAAAGCAUGAAAGAAAUCUUCAUGGGUCUCAAAGAUUAUCAGACAAUUAGAGGCAGUGAAUCAAUUAAAAGACCUUAUCUGAGUCUGGGUCUGGGUAUAAGCAGCAGAAGGUUUUGAUUUGAACAAUAUUUGAGAGAAAAGGAGAGAGACAGAGAUCUUUGGAGAGAGUGGGAGAGGGAGAGACUGUUAAAAUGUCAGAUGUGUUUAGCGUUUGAUGGAAAGAGAGGAGAUUUGAAUGGAUGACAGAGAAGGAAGUAUUGGAGAGGGUGUUUAGUUUAUUAUUUUUACACAGUAAAAGGUAGAAUGAUUUUG
rnacentral:misc_RNA from 1 species